rnacentral:lncRNA from 1 species
UUCUCGCCGCCAUCGUAGUGACAACGUUUGUGUCCGCCCAAGGCUUGGCCGGUGGGGAAGGACUUGUGACAGAUGGAACACUCGUGGGUCCUACCAGUGGCGUUCGGUACGCCGGUGGUCGUGGCGGUUGCGUUGGUGUUGGUGGUAGUGGAAGCGGAGUGUUCGUCGCCGCCCCCAGAUCCCUUACGGUGGCUGGCCUUGUGACCACCCAAGGCUUGGUAAGAAGAAAACGCCUUGUCGCACACGCUGCACUUGAAGACAAGCUUCUGGUCAGAGGACGACGUCGUUGCAGCAGUAGAUGGAGCAGGAGACUUCUGUCGCUGUGAGGCGGUGGUGGUCGUGUUGCAGUUAGUUAAGGCGGCGGUGGAGGUUGUGCCACGUGCAAGCAUGACGAGGCAGAGCGCGAGAUACUCUUCUUCAGUUGGAGGAUUGUGUGGACGCUUUGAGCGCUUGCGUUUGGUCCAUGGCUCAAGGCAGUGAAGAUUAGCUUCUUCGAAGUGAA